UCGCAGCGUGGUAGAUGCGUGCGUGCAUGCGUCAUUGAGGAAACGCUUCAGCUGAGGAGGCCGGAGGCACGCGGCGAGUAUCGAUUUUCCGCAGCGUGUCGUGCAAUUGCAUUAAGUGUGAGUCGCGGCACGACGCGGCAGAGGCAACGUUCGCCGUGGCGGCGGGCACCCUCGCCCCCUCGACGCCGACACGAACGGUGACUCAUGCGGUACUUACCAUUUUCGCGCAGCUGGCCGUAAUAUCCUAUAUUCAUGGAAUUGUACUGAUGAUUGUCAACGGUUGCAUUAAAAUCACCUGACUAUAAUUAAUAUACUUAAUUACAAGUCAAAGAUGAAAUAUCUAUGAAUUUGCGGUGUGUGCAAGCAUAAAUAACUUAUUUCUACAAAUCAUCCCAGCACAUAAAAUUUACAGUUGAGGAUGCACUCGUCCACUGUUGGAUUGCGGGAUGGAAUAGAAAUUAAGACUAAUAAAGAUAAUCAUCGCAGCUUGUUUUGCAUUUACGCAAAAACGUCCCAAAAAGUGCGUCGAAGUCAUUGUGCGCCCAAAAGUUAAGUGUGUAAAAAUAAUAAUAUAUUAUUUGUUGUCAAAUAUCACUCAUACUCGUCAGGCAAUUAAUUAAAAAUAUUGUCAAUAUAAGCAUGCAUGAUUUAAACAUGACUCAAUACAAAGA